AUUUUACUGCCACCGGGUAGUUGUAAUUACAAGCAUUCAUUUACACGUCGUUAGGUCUUAGAAGAUGUGUAAUAUGAAUGCUUUUUUAUU
rnacentral:ncRNA from 1 species